rnacentral:rRNA from 1 species
GACGAACGCUGGCGGCGUGCUUAACACAUGCAAGUCGAACGGAAAGGCCCUGCUUUUGUGGGGUGCUCGAGUGGCGAACGGGUGAGUAACACGUGAGUAACCUGCCCUUGACUUUGGGAUAACUUCAGGAAACUGGGGCUAAUACCGGAUAGGAGCUCCCGCUGCAUGGUGGGGGUUGGAAAGUUUCGGCGGUUGGGGAUGGACUCGCGGGUUAUCAGCUUGUUGGUGGGGUAGUGGCUUACCAAGGCUUUGACGGGUAGCCGGCCUGAGAGGGUGAACGGCCACAUUGGGACUGAGAGACGGCCCAGAGUCCUACGGGAGGCAGCAGUGGGGAAUAUUGCACAAUGGGCGGAAGCCUGAUGCAGCAACGCCGCGUGCGGGAUGACGGCCUUCGGGUUGUAAACCGCUUUCGCCUGUGACGAAGCGUGAGUGACGGUAAUGGGUAAAGAAGCACCGGCUAACUACGUG